rnacentral:rRNA from 1 species
UACGUAGGGUGCGAGCGUUAAUCGGAAUUACUGGGCGUAAAGCGUGCGCAGGCGGUUAUGUAAGACAGGUGUGAAAGCCCCGGGCUUAACCUGGGAACUGCGUUUGAAACUGGGAGACUUGAGUGUGGCAGAGGGGGGUGGAAUUCCACGUGUAGCAGUGAAAUGCGUAGAUAUGUGGAGGAACACCAAUGGCGAAGGCAGCCCCCUGGGUCAACACUGACGCUCAUGCACGAAAGCGUGGGGAGCAAACAGG